GAUCAUGGCUCAGGACGAACGCUGGCGGCGUGCCUAAUACAUGCAAGUAGAACGCUGAAGAGAGGAGCUUGCUCUUCUUGGAUGAGUUGCGAACGGGUGAGUAAUGCGUAGGUAACCUGCCUUGUAGCGGGGGGAUAACUAUUGGAAACGAUAGCUAAUACCGCAUAACAAUGGGUGACUCAUGUCAUUUAUUUGAAAGGGGCAAAUGCUCCACUACAAGAUGGACCUGCGUUG
rnacentral:rRNA from 1 species